AUGAAUGACCGAGCGGUUUAAGGUGUUAGUUUUGAAAACUAAACUAUUUUAACGAUAGCGUGAGUUCGAAUCUCACUUC
rnacentral:tRNA from 1 species